rnacentral:tRNA from 1 species
GCGGGUGGAGUUCAAUUGCCGAAAAUCAGCUUCCCAAGCUGAUAGCGCGGGUUCGAUUCCCGUCACCCGCUCCA